rnacentral:rRNA from 1 species
UAGGGAAACUUCGGCAAUGGGGGGAACCCUGACCGAGCAACGCCGCGUGAGUGAAGAAGGUUUUCGGAUCGUAAAGCUCUGUUGUUAAGGAAGAACGAGUGUGAGAAUGGAAAGUUCAUACUGUGACGGUACUUAACCAGAAAGGGACGGCAAACUACGUGCCAGCAGCCGCGGUAAUACGUAGGUCCCGAGCGUUGUCCGGAUUUAUUGGGCGUAAAGCGAGCGCAGGCGGUUAGAUAAGUCUGAAGUUAAAGGCAGUGGCUCAACCAUUGUAGGCUUUGGAAACUGUUUAACUUGAGUGCAGAAGGGGAGAGUGGAAUUCCAUGUGUAGCGGUGAAAUGCGUAGAUAUAUGGAGGAACACCGGUGGCGAAAGCGGCUCUCUGGUCUGUAACUGACGCUGAGGCUCGAAAGCGUGGGGAGCGAACAGG